rnacentral:rRNA from 1 species
GUGUCAGCAGCCGCGGUAAUACGUAGGCAGCAAGCGUUGUUCGGAGUUACUGGGCGUAAAGAGUAUGUAGGCGGUUGGGUAAGUUUGGUGUGAAAUCUCCCGGCUUAACUGGGAGGGUGCGCUAAAGACUGCCUGGCUCGAGUGUGGGAGAGGAAAGCGGAAUUCCUGGUGUAGCGGUGAAAUGCGUAGAUAUCAGGAGGAACACCUGCGGUGUAGACGGCUUUCUGGACCAUAACUGACGCUGAGAUACGAAAGCGUGGGUAGCAAACAGGAUUAGAAACCCCCGUAGUCC